rnacentral:rRNA from 1 species
GCGAACGCUGGCGGCAGGCCUAACACAUGCAAGUCGAACGAACUCUUCGGAGUUAGUGGCGGACGGGUGAGUAACACGUGGGAACGUGCCUUUAGGUUCGGAAUAACUCAGGGAAACUUGUGCUAAUACCGAAUGUGCCCUUCGGGGGAAAGAUUUAUCGCCUUUAGAGCGGCCCGCGUCUGAUUAGCUAGUUGGUGAGGUAAUGGCUCACCAAGGCGACGAUCAGUAGCUGGUCUGAGAGGAUGAUCAGCCACAUUGGGACUGAGACACGGCCCAAACUCCUACGGGAGGCAGCAGUGGGGAAUCUUGCGCAAUGGGCGAAAGCCUGACGCAGCCAUGCCGCGUGAAUGAUGAAGGUCUUAGGAUUGUAAAAUUCUUUCACCGGGGACGAUAAUGACGGUACCCGGAGAAGAAGCCCCGGCUAACUUCGU